rnacentral:rRNA from 1 species
GAGUUUGAUCAUGGCUCAGAUUGAACGCUGGCGGUAGGCUUAACACAUGCAAGUCGUGCGAGAAAGUAUCUUCGGAUAUGAGUAGAGCGGCGGACGGGUGAGUAACGCGUAGGAAUCUACCUAGUAGAAGGGGAUAGCCCGGGGAAACCCGGAUUAAUACCGUAUACCUCCUUCGGGAGAAAGAAGGCCUCUCUUUGAAGCUUUCGCUACUAGAUGAGCCUGCGUAAGAUUAGCUUGUUGGUGAGGUAAAGGCUCACCAAGGCUACGAUCUUUAGCGGGUCUGAGAGGACGAUCCGCCACAUUGGGACUGAGACACGGCCCAGACUCCUACGGGAGGCAGCAGUGGGGAAUAUUGGACAAUGGGCGAAAGCCUGAUCCAGCCAUACCGCGUGUGUGAAGAAGGCCCUAGGGUUGUAAAGCACUUUAAGUUGGGAAGAAAAGUUAUUGGUUAAUACCCAAUGACCGUGACAUUACCAUCAGAAUAAGGACCGGCUAAUUCCGUGCCAGCAGCCGCGGUAAUACGGAAGGUCCAAGCGUUAAUCGGAAUUACUGGGCGUAAAGCGCGCGUAGGUGGUUUAUUAAGUUGGGUGUGAAAUCCCCGGGCUCAACCUGGGAACUGCAUCCAAAACUGAUUCACUAGAGUACGAUAGAGGGAGGUAGAAUUCACAGUGUAGCGGUGGAAUGCGUAGAUAUUAUGAAGAAUACCAGUGGCGAAGGCGGCCUCCUGGAUCUGUACUGACACUGAGGUGCGAAAGCGUGGGUAGCGAACAGGAUUAGAUACCCUGGUAGUCCACGCCGUAAACGAUGACAACUAGCUGUUAGGAGACUAUGUCUUUUAGUGGCGCAGCUAACGUUUUAAGUUGUCCGCCUGGGGAGUACGGCCGCAAGGUUAAAACUCAAAGGAAUUGACGGGGGCCCGCACAAGCGGCGGAGCAUGCGGAUUAAUUCGAUGCAACGCGAAGAACCUUACCAAGGCUUGACAUAUACAGGAAAAGCGUAGAAAUACGCUCCCCGCAAGGUCUGUAUACAGGUGGUGCAUGGUUGUCGUCAGCUCGUGUCGUGAGAUGUUGGGUUAAGUCCCGCAACGAGCGCAACCCUCGUCCUAUGUUGCCAGCACGUAAUGGUGGGAACUCAUGGGAUACUGCCGGGGUCAACUCGGAGGAAGGUGGGGAUGACGUCAAAUCAUCAUGCCCCUUAUGUCUUGGGCUUCACGCAUGCUACAAUGGCCGGUACAGAGGGCUGCAAUACCGUAAGGUGGAGCGAAUCCCAAAAAGCCGGUCUCAGUUCGGAUUGAGGUCUGCAACUCGACCUCAUGAAGUCGGAGUCACUAGUAAUCGUAGAUCAGCAACGCUACGGUGAAUACGUUCCCGGGCCUUGUACACACCGCCCGUCAAGUCACGAAAGUCGAUAACACCCGAAGCCGGUGGCCUAACCGCAAGGAGGGAGCCGUCGAAGGUGGGAUUGGUGAUUGGGACUAAGUCGUAACAAGGUAACC